UACGUAGGUGGCAAGCGUUAUCCGGAAUUAUUGGGCGUAAAGCGCGCGCAGGUGGUUUCUUAAGUCUGAUGUGAAAGCCCACGGCUCAACCGUGGAGGGUCAUUGGAAACUGGGAGACUUGAGUGCAGAAGAGGAAAGUGGAAUUCCAUGUGUAGCGGUGAAAUGCGUAGAGAUAUGGAGGAACACCAGUGGCGAAGGCGGCAUCCUGGACUGGUACUGACGCUCAGGAGCGAAAGCGUGGGGAGCGAUCCGG
rnacentral:rRNA from 1 species